rnacentral:rRNA from 1 species
UGCUGGCGACGGGCCAGCAGCGGCGGUAAGACGUAGGUGGUAAGGCGUGUCCGGAAUUAUGGGGCGGAAAGCGCGCGCAGGCGGGCCUUUAAGGCGGACGUGGAAGCCCACGGCUCAACCGUGGAGGGUCAUUGGAAACUGGGGGACUUGAGUGCAGAAGAGGAAAGCGGAAUUCCACGUGUAGCGGUGAAAUGCGUAGAGAUGUGGAGGAACACCAGUGGCGAAGGCGGCUUUCUGGUCUGUAACUGACGCUGAGGCGCGAAAGCGUGGGGAGCAAACAGGAUUAGAUACCCGUGUAGUC